AUUGAACGCUGGCGGCAGGCCUAACACAUGCAAGUCGAGCGGAUGAAGGGAGCUUGCUCCUGGAUUCAGCGGCGGACGGGUGAGUAAUGCCUAGGAAUCUGCCUGGUAGUGGGGGAUAACGUCCGGAAACGGGCGCUAAUACCGCAUACGUCCUGAGGGAGAAAGUGGGGGAUCUUCGGACCUCACGCUAUCAGAUGAGCCUAGGUCGGAUUAGCUAGUUGGUGGGGUAAAGGCCUACCAAGGCGACGAUCCGUAACUGGUCUGAGAGGAUGAUCAGUCACACUGGAACUGAGACACGGUCCAGACUCCUACGGGAGGCAGCAGUGGGGAAUAUUGGACAAUGGGCGAACGCCUGAUCCAGCCAUGCCGCGUGUGUGAAGAAGGUCUUCGGAUUGUAAAGCACUUUAAGUUGGGAGGAAGGGCAGUAAGUUAAUACCUUGCUGUUUUGACGUUACCAACAGAAUAAGCACCGGCUAACUUCGUG
rnacentral:rRNA from 1 species